GAUUGAACGCUGGCGGCAUGCCUUACACAUGCAAGUCGAACGGCAGCACGGACUUCGGUCUGGUGGCGAGUGGCGAACGGGUGAGUAAUGUAUCGGAACGUACCUUUCAGUGGGGGAUAACGUAGCGAAAGUUACGCUAAUACCGCAUAUUCUGUGAGCAGGAAAGCAGGGGAUCGCAAGACCUUGCGCUGAUUGAGCGGCCGAUAUCAGAUUAGCUAGUUGGUGGGGUAAAGGCCUACCAAGGCGACGAUCUGUAGCGGGUCUGAGAGGAUGAUCCGCCACACUGGAACUGAGACACGGUCCAGACUCCUACGGGAGGCAGCAGUGGGGAAUUUUGGACAAUGGGGGCAACCCUGAUCCAGCCAUGCCGCGUGAGUGAAGAAGGCCUUCGGGUUGUAAAGCUCUUUCGGCCGGGAAGAAAUCGCACAGGCUAAUACCCUGUGUGGAUGACGGUACCGGAAUAAGAAGCACCGGCUAACUACGUGCCAGCAGCCGCGGUAAUACGUAGGGUGCGAGCGUUAAUCGGAAUUACUGGGCGUAAAGCGUGCGCAGGCGGUUUAGUAAGACAGGCGUGAAAUCCCCGGGCUCAACCUGGGAACUGCGCUUGUGACUGCUAAGCUAGAGUACGGCAGAGGGGGGUGGAAUUCCACGUGUAGCAGUGAAAUGCGUAGAGAUGUGGAGGAACACCGAUGGCGAAGGCAGCCCCCUGGGCCGAUACUGACGCUCAUGCACGAAAGCGUGGGUAGCAAACAGGAUUAGAUACCCUGGUAGUCCACGCCCUAAACGAUGUCAACUAGGUGUUGGGAGGGUAAAACCUUUUAGUACCGGAGCUAACGCGUGAAGUUGACCGCCUGGGGAGUACGGCCGCAAGGUUAAAACUCAAAGGAAUUGACGGGGACCCGCACAAGCGGUGGAUGAUGUGGAUUAAUUCGAUGCAACGCGAAAAACCUUACCUACCCUUGACAUGUCCAGAAGCUCUUAGAGAUUUGAGUGUGCCCGAAAGGGAGCUGGAACACAGGUGCUGCAUGGCUGUCGUCAGCUCGUGUCGUGAGAUGUUGGGUUAAGUCCCGCAACGAGCGCAACCCUUGUCGUUAAUUGCCAUCAUUUAGUUGGGCACUUUAACGAGACUGCCGGUGACAAACCGGAGGAAGGUGGGGAUGACGUCAAGUCCUCAUGGCCCUUAUGGGUAGGGCUACACACGUGCUACAAUGGUCGGUACAGAGGGCGGCUAAGGCGCGAGCCGGAGCGAAUCCCCCAAAGCCGGCCCCAGUUCGGAUCGCAGGCUGCAACCCGCCUGCGUGAAGUAGGAAUCGCUAGUAAUCACGGGUCAGCAUACCGUGGUGAAUACGUUCCCGGGCCU
rnacentral:rRNA from 1 species